CAGUAUACAUUGCCUGGGAUACAUACAGCCUUGAAUGGCAUAAUAGUAAGCUCCGUUAGUUGGGUUUCUCAGAGAACCUGCCUGACACAAUGCUGGCAGAUCUGUUGAGUUUCUCCAGCACUCACUUGUUUCGUUACUGAACUCUCCUAUUGUGUGCAGUUCAAAUUCACAUCAAAGAAAAUAUUCCCAGAAAAUACUAUAAAUUCAAUCAUUUUCAUCUCAUUAUGUGGAUGGAGCCGUCACUUGAAGAGCCGACACUUUGAAUUGUCAUUUCACAUCAAUAGAAAGUUAAGAUCUCAGAAGCCGAUCUUCUGUGCUAUGCCACAAUUGGGGAAAAAAAAUCCUACCUCUUAUCUAGCUUUUGGGGAGCCAUACCACUCCCAAAAAAUAAACAAAUAU